rnacentral:lncRNA from 1 species
UCAAUAUAUGGACUUCUAUCUUAAUAUGCUCCCACUAUUUUACUAACGAGUCACGCGACACCCUCAGCACGUGAAACGGAAGUCUCCGGCAGACUUCUAGUGGGGAUCAGGAUCCAAUCAGUGUCUUAGUGUAACCUCGAGGGACUCGACCAAUCACACUAAACCUAAAAGGUAGGCAACUCUUGCCGAUCACAACUCCUUGUGAUUCCCGUCCUGUUCGGCCUCCGAAUCACCAUGGCCUCGAGGGACUCGACCAACCAUGAUGCUCGGUUAAGUCAACACCUUCGUUACAAGAUGAGUCUGAUUUGAUGAUAUACCCUCGAGGGACUCGACCAAGUAUACCAUGCCCUCAGGUCACCGGUGACAUCUCUAUGUCGUAAGCAAGAUA